GACGAACGCUGGCGGCGUGCUUAACACAUGCAAGUCGAACGGAAAGGCCCUGCUUUUGUGGGGUGCUCGAGUGGCGAACGGGUGAGUAACACGUGAGUAACCUGCCCUUGACUUUGGGAUAACUUCAGGAAACUGGGGCUAAUACUGGAUAGGAGCUCCUGCUGCAUGGUGGGGGUUGGAAAGUUUCGGCGGUUGGGGAUAGACUCGCGGCUUAUCAGCUUGUUGGUGGGGUAGUGGCUUACCAAGGCUUUGACGGGUAGCCGGCCUGAGAGGGUGACCGGCCACAUUGGGACUGAGAUACGGCCCAGACUCCUACGGGAGGCAGCAGUGGGGAAUAUUGCACAAUGGGCGGAAGCCUGAUGCAGCAACGCCGCGUGCGGGAUGACGGCCUUCGGGUUGUAAACCGCUUUCGCCUGUGACGAAGCGUGAGUGACGGUAAUGGGUAAAGAAGCACCGGCUAACUACGUG
rnacentral:rRNA from 1 species